rnacentral:lncRNA from 1 species
GGAAAAGAUCGAAUGAGCUUUACCUUUAAAUAUAUAUAUAUAUCUCUUAUUUGAAUUUUUGUAUUAGUUUACUGUGAUUCUUUUAUUGUCAUUUUUCUAAACAGGUUUCACAUGAAACCAUUGAAAGGGACUCAAAUAUGCAACACCUAAUCUAUUUUCCAAGGGAAUUUUACCCUUGAAUGGUGCUUUUUGACUGGUCAGGGUUAUUUAUUAAAUUUUAUAUUUGAAAGUAUUUCGGGAAUUAUGUAAAUUCUUUAUAUGAAUCUGUUUAUUUCAUGAAUUGUAAAUUUCAUAAUACUCAGUGAUUGAAUCGGAAGUUUAGUAAAGUCAUUCAAAAUGUUCAAAGUUUAUAGAAUCUGUGUGCAUUUUACAUAUAUUUUAACAAGUGCCAGAAUAGUUGUAUUUAAUAUUGUAGAUAUAAAACUACUUGCACAUCCCUGUGACAGCAUUAAGUUAAGUUAUGAGAGUUUACAUUUUUUAAAAGAAAUGCUAAACAAACAAGCCUGAGAGCCAUGUCCUGUGUUUCUUCAGGAGGUGUGAAGCUGAGUGUCAGGAACGGAGCAGGUUCACUUCUAGUUCAUGGAACUCCUGCUCUGGUGGCUACAAGAAACUGCUGUCUCUCCCAUUCAUAUACACUAUGAAGUCAGCCUCCGGGCUUGUAUUGCAAGCCCCUGGUUGUGUAUCUGGUUAGAGGUAGAGCUCUUGCACGAUUUAACAGUGUUUGUUUCUGACUGAAAAAUGGUAUUUUUAAAUAACUUUUAUUUGUAUGGUUGUUUUUCAUGAGAAAUAAUUGAACAGUUUGAAUGACUUGACUUGGUGUCAUUAUCUUGCAAUAUAAACCGGUAACCUCACAACUCCACACUUCAUCACCAUAUGAAGUAAAUGAAGCUAGCUAAGCUGAUGCUGUAACAAUGAAUAACUUGCCAUUAAGGAUUAUUUUAUAGCAUGAAUUUUAAAAUAUUUAUUCAAAUGAUAUUUUACUCUUGUAUUCACUUUGGUUUUAGAUUUGUGACAUGAAUAUUUCAGUGCUGCUUUAUUUUGUUCUGAUGAAUUUGUUUCUUGCUUGUAAAUUGCUUUUUUUAUGGUAUAAAGUCAAUGGGAAUUGCUGUUUGUAAAUUAAAAUGCUUCUAGAGCAAA